AGGGUUUGAUCAUGGCUCAGAUUGAACGCUGGCGGAAUGCUUUACACAUGCAAGUCGAACGGCAGCACGGAGAGCUUGCUCUCUGGUGGCGAGUGGCGAACGGGUGAGUAAUAUAUCGGAACGUAUCCAAUAAUGGGGGAUAACGAGUCGAAAGAUUCGCUAAUACCGCAUACGCCCUACGGGGGAAAGCAGGGGAUCGUAAGACCUUGCGUUAAUGGAGCGGCCGAUAUCUGAUUAGCUUGUUGGUGAGGUAAAGGCUCACCAAGGCGACGAUCAGUAGCUGGUUUGAGAGAACGACCAGCCACACUGGAACUGAGACACGGUCCAGACUCCUACGGGAGGCAGCAGUGGGGAAUUUUGGACAAUGGGGGCAACCCUGAUCCAGCCAUUCCGCGUGAGUGAAGAAGGCCUUCGGGUUGUAAAGCUCUUUCGCAAGGGAAGAAAACUUAUGAUCGAAUAAAUCAUGAGGUUGACGGUACCUUGAUAAGAAGCACCGGCUAACUACGUGCCAGCCGCCGCGGUAAUACA
rnacentral:rRNA from 1 species